UCAGGAUGAACGCUGGCGGCGUGCCUAAUACAUGCAAGUCGAGCGAACCACUUCGGUGGUGAGCGGCGAACGGGUGAGUAACACGUAGGUGAUCUGCCCAUCAGACGGGGACAACGAUUGGAAACGAUCGCUAAUACCGGAUAGGACGAAAGUUUAAAGGUGCUUCUGGCACCGCUGAUGGAUGAGCCUGCGGCGCAUUAGCUAGUUGGUAGGGUAAAGGCCUACCAAGGCGACGAUGCGUAGCCGACCUGAGAGGGUGAACGGCCACACUGGGACUGAGACACGGCCCAGACUCCUACGGGAGGCAGCAGUAGGGAAUCUUCGGCAAUGGGCGAAAGCCUGACCGAGCAACGCCGCGUGAAUGAUGAAGGCCUUCGGGUUGUAAAAUUCUGUUAUAAGGGAAGAACGACUUUAGUAGGAAAUGGCUAGAGUGUGACGGUACCUUAUGAGAAAGCCACGGCUAACUACGUGCCAGCAGCCGCGGUAAUACGUAGGUGGCGAGCGUUAUCCGGAAUUAUUGGGCGUAAAGAGCGCGCAGGUGGUUGAUUAAGUCUGAUGUG
rnacentral:rRNA from 1 species